UAAAAUAUAUAAAAUUAAUUACUAUUAAAAUCUUUAAUUUAAAAUUAUAUUUAUAUUAAUUAAUAAAGAAAUUAUGUUAAAAUUAGUAUAAUGUUAUUAUUUAUAAAAGGAAUUCGGCUUUCAUCUGUUUAUCAAAAACAUAGUCUUAUGAAAAUAUAAGGUAAAACCUGCCCACUGAUUUUAAAUGGCCGCAGUACUUUGACUGUGCUAAGGUAGCAUAAUAAAUUGACUUUUAAUUGGGGCCUUGAAUGAAAGGAUUAAUGGAUAAUUUCUGUCUUUAAUGAAUAAAUUAAAAAUUACUUAAAAGGUGAAAAUUCCUUUAUUUAAUAAAAUAGACGAGAAGACCCUAGGAGUUUUUUUGUUGGGGCGACAAUAUAGCAUAACCUAUAUAUUUAUAAUAACGAAAUAUUUUAAUAAUAAUUUAACUACCCUAGGGAUAACAGCAUAAUUUAAUUUAAGUUUAUGACCUCGAUGUUGGACUAGGAACUUUUAAAGCUAACAGCGUUAA
rnacentral:rRNA from 1 species